UCCGGCUUGACGCCGGCAGUCUCCUUAGAGUGCCCAACUAAAUGAUGGCAACUAAAGGCGAGGGUUGCGCUCGUUGCGGGACUUAACCCAACAUCUCACGACACGAGCUGACGACAGCCAUGCAGCACCUGUCUCCGGUCCAGCCGAACUGAAGAGGUCCAUCUCUGGUCCUCGCAACCGGGAUGUCAAGGGUUGGUAAGGUUCUGCGCGUUGCUUCGAAUUAAACCACACGAUCCACCGCUUGUGCGGGUCCCCGUCAAUUCCUUUAUGUUUUAGUCUUGCGACCGUACUCCACAGGCGGGAUACUUAACGCGUUAGCUUCGCUACUGGAGGGGUCGAUACCUCCAACAGCUAGUAUCCAUCGUUUACGGCGUGGACUAC
rnacentral:misc_RNA from 1 species